AAUCUUAUAAAAUGGGGGCAACCCUGAUCUAGCCAUGCCGCGUGAGGGAUGAAGGCCUUGGGGAUGUACAGCUCUUUCAUCUGAGUCGAGAGAGACGGUUGCAUCAGAAGCAUUCGCUGCUUACUCCGUGCCAGCAGCCGCGGUAAUACGGAGGGGACUGGCGUUGUUCGGAAUUAUUGGGCGUAACGCGAACGUAGGCGGAUCGGAAAGUUGGGGAUGAAAGCCGGGGGCUCAGCCCCGGAACAGAAUUCAAAACUAUAGGUCUGGAGUUCGAGAGGAGUGAGUGGAAUUCCGAGUGUAGAGGUGAAAUUCGUAGAUAUUCGGAGGAACACAAGUGGCGAAGGCGGCUCACUGGCUCGAUACUGACGCUGAGGUGCGAAAGCGUGGGGAGCAAACAG
rnacentral:rRNA from 1 species